rnacentral:rRNA from 1 species
UGGGGAAUAUUGCACAAUGGGCGAAAGCCUGAUGCAGCGACGCCGCGUGAGGGAUGAAGGCCUUCGGGUUGUAAACCUCUUUCAGCAGGGAAGAAGCGAAAGUGACGGUACCUGCAGAAGAAGCGCCGGCUAACUACGUGCCAGCAGCCGCGGUAAUACGUAGGGCGCAAGCGUUGUCCGGAAUUAUUGGGCGUAAAGAGCUCGUAGGCGGUCUGUCGCGUCCGUUGUGAAAACUCGAGGCUCAACCUCGGGCUUGCAGUGGAUACGGGCAGACUAGAGUGUGGUAGGGGAGACUGGAAUUCCUGGUGUAGCGGUGGAAUGCGCAGAUAUCAGGAGGAACACCGAUGGCGAAGGCAGGUCUCUGGGCCGCAACUGACGCUGAGGAGCGAAAGCAUGGGGAGCGAACAG